rnacentral:sRNA from 1 species
CUGGGAGCAUAUUGUACUUUUAUCUUAAUCAAAAAGAGACACCCAAGCGUCUCCUGUGAGUGCAAGUAGACCUAAUCAUCCCUAAACAUAUGUUGAAACAGUGUCUGUAGUGGAUGAGAUCUUGGAAGCUCUGAGCCACCCAGCAGAGAGGUGGGUUAUUAGAAUGUCAGUGUAUCAGAGUUAGAGUGCUGUCUAAAUUAGACUGCAUGCUCUUGCUAAUCCUCAGAUGUUUCUCCAUUGAGUGCGAGAUAAGUUUAGUCUUCACCCCUCACUGAGGAAACUUGUUCAUGGAACAGGCAACAAUUACUACAGAAAACCACAUCCAAUCAAAAUACGACAUCAUAAAGCCCAGUCCCAGUGUUUACAUCUGCAAAACACUCUGACGAAUUGCCAGCAUCAAGAGGAACAUCUUUGCUUGAACUUAAGUAGCCAUUACUUACAGGUGUUUUCCGAAACAAAACAAUAGUUCAGAGUGGAAUGUUGAAGAACAAAGGAACAGCACAUUUGAAUACAAUUACAUUUUAUAUUGAGUUAUUUUAGCCCAGAUUGCUGUUCACGUUUCCUUUGAUUAUACAUGUAUCACAAUUUCUUAUUCUGAUAUUGAUAGUCAAUUAACUUCCCCAAUUACAAAUUUGAUUCCCUAAAUAAAGAUAAUAAGAUUA